GGACUACACGGGUAUCUAAUCCCAUUCGCUACCCUGGCUUUCGUGUGUGAGCGUCAGAUUCGGGCCAGUGCGCUGCCUUCGCCUUUGGUGUUCCCCACGAUAUCAACGGAUUUUACCCCUACACCGUGAGUUCCACGCACCUCUCCCGACCUCAAGUCAUGCCGUUUCGCCCGCGGGCCAGAAGUUGAGCUCCUGGAUUUUACGGACGACUAACAUGACCGCCUUGACACCCUUUACGCCCAGUGAUUCCGGAUAAUGCUUGGGGCCUCUGUAUUACCGCGGCUGCUGGCAC
rnacentral:rRNA from 1 species